GACGAACGCUGGCGGCGUGCUUAACACAUGCAAGUCGAACGAAGAGCGAUGGAAGCUUGCUUCUAUCAAUCUUAGUGGCGAACGGGUGAGUAACGCGUAAUCAACCUGCCCUUCAGAGGGGGACAACAGUUGGAAACGACUGCUAAUACCGCAUACGAUCUAAUCUCGGCAUCGAGGAUAGAUGAAAGGUGGCCUCUACAUGUAAGCUAUCACUGAAGGAGGGGAUUGCGUCUGAUUAGCUAGUUGGAGGGGUAACGGCCCACCAAGGCGAUGAUCAGUAGCCGGGGUGGAGGGAGGAAAGGCCACAUGGGAAGUGAAAAAGGGCCCAGACUCCUAGGGGGGGGCGCGGUGGGGAAUCUCCCGCAAGGGAGGAAAGUAUGACGGAGCAACCCCGAGGGGGGGAGGGCGGCCUUGGGGUUGGAAAGCUGUGUUAUGCGGGGCGAAAGGCCUUUUGGGGAAUAGGGGGAAGGAUGGACGGAACGGAAAAAGAAAGCCCGGCCAAACUCCGU
rnacentral:rRNA from 1 species